UUUGUCUACGGGGCGCAGCAGUAGGGAAUAUUGCUCAAUGGGGGAAACCCUGAAGCAGCAACGCCGCGUGGAGGAUGAAGGUUUUCGGAUUGUAAACUCCUUUUGUUAGAGAAGAUAAUGACGGUAUCUAACGAAUAAGCACCGGCUAACUCCGUGCCAGCAGCCGCGGUAAUACGGAGGGUGCAAGCGUUACUCGGAAUCACUGGGCGUAAAGAGCGAGUAGGCGGGAUAGCAAGUCAGCUGUGAAAUCCUAUGGCUUAACCAUAGAAAUGCAUUUGAAACUGUUAUUCUAGCGUAUGGGAGAG
rnacentral:rRNA from 1 species